GGGCACAUGGUGGUUUAGUGGUUUGCACGUUUGCCUCACACCUCCAGGGUUGGGGGUUCGAUUCCCACUGUGGCCC